UACGUAGGGGGCAAGCGUUGUCCGGAAUUAUUGGGCGUAAAGAGCGUGUAGGCGGUCCGGUAAGUCGGCUGUGAAAGCCCGGGGCUCAACCCCGGGAGGCGGGUGGAUACUGUCAAGCUCGAGUCCGGAAGAGGAGUGUGGAAUUCCUGGUGUAGCGGUGAAAUGCGCAGAUAUCAGGAGGAACACCAAUGGCGAAGGCAGCACUCUGGGACGUGACUGACGCUGAGACGCGAAAGCGUGGGGAGCAAACAGG
rnacentral:rRNA from 1 species